GGGCCCGCACAAGCGGUGGAGCAUGUGGUUUAAUUCGAUGCAACGCGAAGAACCUUACCAGGGUUUGACAUCCUGCGAAUCUCUUGGAAACGAGAGAGUGCCUUCGGGAACGCAGUGACAGGUGGUGCAUGGCUGUCGUCAGCUCGUGUCGUGAGAUGUUGGGUUAAGUCCCGCAACGAGCGCAACCCACGUCGUUAGUUGCCAGCAUUUAGUUGGGCACUCUAGAGAGACUGCCGGUGAUAAACCGGAGGAAGGUGUGGAUGACGUCAAGUCAUCAUGCCCCUUACAUCCUGGGCUACACACGUACUACAAUGCUACGGACAAAGGGCAGCAAGUUCGCGAGACAAGCAAAUCCCAUAAACCGUGGCUCAGUUCAGAUCGUAGGCUGCAACUCGCCUACGUGAAGGCGGAAUC
rnacentral:rRNA from 1 species